UCCCACGGCACCUGCUCAAUGCCUCCCUCCUCACACUCCAGCAUCCAGGUCGGUUGGCUACGUCCCCCUUGCACCCCAACAUCGUGCUGCACAUUGUCGUCAGGGACCAGGCCGCCGCCGCCACGGCCUCCUCCUCCCCGGUGGCCGCGGGCACCCCAUCUACUCAGUUGAACAUUCGUAUCUUCCCAUAGGCAACCUGGUGGUUCUCGAGCGUGCGGUGAUGCUUCCACGGUCUACUCCUCCCCGGUGCUCCUAGAUCCAACAAUAGCUCACCGGAGGCAAGCUGGUGGGGCUGCAUCUACUCACCUCCUUCGCCUCACAAGCUCAACAUGAAGGUCAGCUCCGUUUCUCCCACUCCCCUCCCCCUCCCCCUCCUAUAGAUUGCUCUCUAAUGGCAACUCUCCUCUCCUAUAAUGCUGAGCAUUUAACAGUGAACAACUUUGAUGGCUUUGACUGGUUUUCAUUAGAUGAUGCAUUACAUAUUUUAUAACUUUGAUUUUAUGAUGUAGUGCUACUGUUCUUGUGGUUUGGUAGUAUAAUUUGGAAGUUCUAUUUCACUGUUAAGUACUGUGGAGAGCUAAGUUUGAUGUGUAGAACGGGUACAUAAUCCUCGAUUUGAAGUUCAGGAUAUUUCACUAAAAAUAUUAGUAUCUGCACAUGUUCCAUCUUGUCGUCACAGUAUCCAUUCAUUGAGUUAAAUAUUGUGGGACAGUGAGUUCUUUUUAAUUGUGAGGAUUACAAUUUAGCAAUUCAUAUAAUAAAUCCAUUUUUACAAUUUACCAGUUCUAGACACACCCUUAUGCGUUCUGACCAUUAGUUCGAGACAUGGAUAAAUCAUGGAUGGAGCCAUUAGCAGACCUGAUCCAUGAUCAUGCAUUCUAUAAGUGUGUAUUGGGGAAAGUAAAAGAGAAACAAAUAAACUGAUGUAACAUUUAGGCAGAUAGAAUCUGACCAGAAUAGUAAAGGGACAGAAAGUUCUUCAAUCUGUACCGUCCAUAUUCAAUCCAAUAGCCCUUACAGGUUGUUCUGCUACAUUAUAUGGAAGCAUCAGUGACCUGAAAUCUAAAGCAUUUUAAUAGAAGUUUUCUUAAUAAACUUGUGUUCAGAAUGCAGAUUUGUGUCUCACGUACCUAUGAUUUACUUUCUGUUGUAAUUGUUUUUAAACUCCUCAAAACAGUUAUUGAGAAGGACACCACAAACUCUUGCAGGCUGAUUGUGGAUGUAAGGUGCCUGUAUUUUGCAUCUUGUAGUGUGUGUUCUAAAAGCGGCUGGUGCAUCUGGAGCACCAAUUCCACCAUUUCAUAGGGUAUAGCUCAUAUUUUUUUACUGUAUUGUGUUCAAGAAGAAGCAUACCUAUCUCUUUCACAAUGAUUAGGCAACCACAGCCCCUUUCAGAAGACUCAAAAUCACCAUGUGUAUUGUGAAGAUGUGCCUUUGUAACGUCGUAAUAUAUUUAUUUGUUUGUUUGUUGUUAGAGUUGAAUUUUUUCUUUCUUAGAAGCCAAGUGUUAUUUAUGCUAUGCAGAAUGUGCAGAUUUGUUUGGUGCCAUCUUUUCCAAUGCUAAGCAGCCAAGUAUUCCUUGCUAGUACAAUGUAUUGUUGAUGAUUAUUUAAGUACACUUUGUCGUGUUGUGCUCAAAACUGAAUGGUUUGUUUGGUGCCAUCUCUUCCAGGAAAUGAAGAUUGAUGAGCUAGAAGGACUAUAACUGGAUGCAAAGGGAACUAACUUUUCUUUCAUGUGCUAUCAAGAUAACAAACCUGAUGCAAGCUUUGGUAGCGAUGCGUAUUCAGCGGGGAUCACUUUAGUACUUCAUACUUGGGGCUUGCUGUUCAUGUACUAGAAAAUUAUUAUGUCAUGUUAUGUGCCAAGUUAUAUAUGUAUGUCUCUUGUGUACUCAAAUUAGGAUGGAUGACAUGCACUCAAAUUAGGAUGGAUCACUUCAGUCCUUCAUACUCGGCUUGCUGGUUUUCUGUAUGGUUGGGCAACAACAAUCUGCACUGCUUACAAAUUGUGCUGCUGCAGUAUAUGGAAGCAUCAAUCACCUGAAAUCUGGAGCAUUUUUAACAUGAAGUUCUCCUGAAAAAACUUGUAUUCAGAAUGCAGAUUUGUGUCACGGACCUAUGAUGUACUUUGUGUCGUAAUUAUUUUAAACUCCACAAAACAGUUCUUGAGGACACCACGCUCUUGCAGUCUGAUGUGAUCACAUAUUUAUUAGAGAUGCU
rnacentral:lncRNA from 1 species